rnacentral:tRNA from 1 species
GGAGGCAUGGCUCAAGUAAUAGAGUGCUUGCCUAGAAAGCAAAAGGCUCUGAGGUCAAUCCUCAGUACUGCCA